AUAUUGCUUAUCUCCAUUUCAUUAGAUCUCCUGCUGUGAUUUUGUCCUGUUCUUUCAUUUAGGACAUAUUCCUCUAUCUCCUCAUUCUGUCUAGCUCUCUGUUCGUUUCUCUGUAUUAGGGGUCAGCUAUGAUUCCUGGUCUUGAAAGUAGUGACCUUGUGUCUAGGUCCUAUAGUGCCCUGUAGUGCAGUGCCCCCAAGCACUAGAACCAGGUGCUCCAAGAGGGUCUCUAUGUGGGCAACAUACACUCUACUGUUGUGGCUGAGUUGCAUUUGCCUUAGUUGGCUACAGUGACCUGCUUUGCCUGCUGUGGACAUACUGGGCAAGGUUUAGUCCAUACAUAGCCAACUGAGAGGCUCAGCUGUUGGAACUGUGGACACACUGAUAUGUAGGGUUAUCUCACUCUCUCUCCAGGGCUGCAGUCACUUUUAGAGUGGUAUGGGUCCCUGCUGAGGCUGUUUGCAGGGUGUGGUGGGGCAGGAGUGGUUUUGAAGGACCACCUGCUGAGGCAGGCAUGUCCCCAGGUGAAAGUUGGGACAGGGCACUAGGAAGAUAUGUAGAGAGUAUUAGUGCUAGUUCCCACAAGUGUCUGGCUUUCUAGGCUGGGGGAGGAGAAGAGAAAUGGUGCCCACCAGCACUUUUGUUCUGGAAGUCUCCUGAAGAGAAGACUCCCUGGCCCUCCAGCACAUGGUGAGAUUAGUAAAUGAAUAUCUUUUAUAUACCCAAGCACUUUUCAAACUACUGUUUCUGUGCUGUCUCUCAGGCCAUUAUUUAUUCUAGCUCUUUAAGAGCAGGUGGUUUUUGAUUGCCUCUGGCUCUCCCAGAAUUAAGCCCUGCUAAUUUUAAAAGUACCUGGACUUAAGCCCUGCUGAUUUUAAAAGCUCCUAAAGUUAAUCCCCCCUGGUUUUCAAAGCCAGAUGUUAUUGGAAACUCAUCACUCCACUGCCUAGAGUGCCUUGCAUGGGGUCUGAUCCUCUCUGCUUCCCUGGGCUUGUGGUGUCCCUCCUGUCUAUGGUUAGUCUCACAGGGAGUUUGGUUCCCAGGUGUGACUCAGCCCCUCCUACCCUUUUCAGUGUAGCUUCCUCUCAACAGUUAACUGUGGAAGGUCUGUUCUGCCGGUUUUCAGGUGAUUUUCAGAGCUGCACAGAGGUAGCUAUUAUCUUGAUGUGCUUGUGAGACAAGAUGAGGUCAGGAUCCUCCUACUGCACCAUCUUCUGACACCCCUGCUUCAUGUAUUUUAAAGCUCUAUUAUUUGGUACUUGCAUCUUUAGGGUCAUUAUAUACUCCUUGUUGAAAUGAUCCUUUUUUCAUUCUGAAAUUACCGUUUUCAUCCCUGGCAAUAUUUUUUACUAUGCAGUCUACUUUUAUAUUAGCAUAGACCUUACAGUUUUCUCUUGAUUAGCAUUAGCAUAAUGUAUCUUUUUCCAUUCUUUUACUUUUAACCUAUUUGUAUCUUUAUAUUUAAAGUGGGUU